rnacentral:rRNA from 1 species
CGAGAAAGCCCGCAAGGGUGAGUACAGCGGCGCACGGGUGCGUAACACGUGGGUAAUCUGCCCUGGAGCCCGGAAUAACCUCCCGAAAGGGAAGCUAAUGCCGGAUGAGCCCACGGGGUCCUUGGACCCUGAGGGAAAAGGUGGCCUCUGCAUGCAAGCUAUCACUUCAGGAUGAGCCCGCGGCCCAUCAGCUCGUUGGCGGGGUAACGGCCCACCAAGGCUACGACGGGUAGCUGGUCUGAGAGGACGAUCAGCCACACUGGAACUGAGACACGGUCCAGACUCCUACGGGAGGCAGCAGUGGGGAAUCUUGCGCAAUGGGCGAAAGCCUGACGCAGCAACGCCGCGUGUGUGAUGAAGGUCUUCGGAUCGUAAGGCACUGUCGCGAGGGACG